UGAAGCCUCAAAUCUAUCACACUAACCCC
rnacentral:piRNA from 1 species